GGAGAGAGAGCAGAGCACGAGCAGCGCCGCGAGCGACACACAGGAGCGGGGCGGGAUGGCGAGCCUGACGGUGCCGCCGGUGCCUACGUGGCCCCGGCAGGACGCCAUCGACCUCCACAGGGCGUUCAAAGGUUUCGGCUGCGACAGCACGACGGUGAUCAACAUCCUCGCCCACCGCGACGCGGCGCAGCGCGCGCUGAUCCAGCAGGAGUACCGCGCCGUGUUCAACCAGGACCUCGCCCGCCGCAUCGCCUCCGAGCUCAGCGGCCACCACAAGCGCGCCAUGCUGCUGUGGCUCCUGGACCCGGCCUCCCGCGACGCCACCAUCCUGAAGCAGGCCCUCACCGGUGACGUCACCGACC
rnacentral:lncRNA from 1 species